AACGAACGCUGGCGGCAGGCCUAACACAUGCAAGUCGAACGGGACCUUCGGGUCUAGUGGCGGACGGGUGAGUAACGUGUGGGAACGUACCCUUUGGUUCGGAAAAGCCUCGGCAAACUGGGAGUAACACCGGAUACAGUCGAGAGACGAAAGAUUUACCGCCGAAGGAUCGGCCCGCGUUGGAUUAGGGAGUUGGUGGGGUAAUGGCCUACCAAGCCGACGGUCCCUAGCUGGUUUGAGAGGAUGAUCAGCCACACUGGGACUGAGACACGGCCCAGACUCCUACGGGAGGCAGCAGUGGGGAAUCUUAGACAAUGGGGGAAACCCUGAUCUAGCCAUGCCGCGUGAGCGAUGAAGGCCUUAGGGUUGUAAAGCUCUUUCAGUGGGGAAGAUAAUGACUGUACCCGCAGAAGAAGCCCCGGCUAACUCCGUGCCAGCAGCCGCGGUAA
rnacentral:rRNA from 1 species